rnacentral:rRNA from 1 species
UACGUAGGGUGCGAGCGUUAAUCGGAAUUACUGGGCGUAAAGCGUGCGCAGGCGGUUUUGUAAGCCAGAUGUGAAAGCCCCGGGCUUAACCUGGGAAUGGCAUUUGGGACUGCAAGGCUUGAGUGCGGCAGAGGAGACUGGAAUUCCUGGUGUAGCAGUGAAAUGCGUAGAUAUCAGGAGGAAUACCGAUGGCGAAGGCAGGUCUCUGGGCUGACACUGACGCUCA